rnacentral:rRNA from 1 species
UACGUAGGGGGCGAGCGUUGUCCGAAUUUACUGGGCGUAAAGCGCGCGUAGGCGGUCAUUUAAGUCUGAGGUGAAAGGUUCAGCGCUCAACGUGAACAGUGCCUUGGAUACUGGGUGACUUGAGUUCGGGAGGGGGCAGUGGAAUUCCAGGUGUAGCGGUGAAAUGCGUAGAUAUCUGGAGGAACACCGAUGGCGAAGGCAGCUGCCUGGCCCAGAACUGACGCUGAGGUGCGAAAGCGUGGGGAGCAAACAGG